rnacentral:rRNA from 1 species
GGAAUUGCAUUGGUGACUGCACGGCUAGAGUGUGUCAGAGGGGGGUAGAAUUCCACGUGUAGCAGUGAAAUGCGUAGAGAUGUGGAGGAAUACCGAUGGCGAAGGCAGCCCCCUGGGAUAACACUGACGCUCAUGCACGAAAGCGUGGGGAGCAAACAGGAUUAGGUACCCUGGUAGUCCACGCCCUAAACGAUGUCAACUAGUUGUUGGGGAUUCAUUUCCUUAGUAACGUAGCUAACGCGUGAAGUUGACCGCCUGGGGAGUACGGUCGCAAGAUUAAAACUCAAAGGAAUUGACGGGGACCCGCACAAGCGGUGGAUGAUGUGGAUUAAUUCGAUGCAACGCGAAAAACCUUACCUACCCUUGACAUGCCACUAACGAAGCAGAGAUGCAUUAGGUGCUCGAAAGAGAAAGUGGACACAGGUGCUGCAUGGCUGUCGUCAGCUCGUGUCGUGAGAUGUUGGGUUAAGUCCCGCAACGAGCGCAACCCUUGUCUCUAGUUGCUACGAAAGGGCACUCUAGAGAGACUCCCGGUGACAAACCGGAGGAAAGGCGGGGAUCACGUCAAGUCUUCAUGGCCCUUAUGGGUAGGGCUUCACACGUCAUACAAUCGGUGCAUACAGAGGGUUCCCAAGCCGCGAGGUGGAGCUAAUCCCAGAAAAUGCAUCGUAGUCCGGAUCGUAGUCUGCAACUC